GCCUGCCUGGCGCAAUGGUUAGCGCUUUGGACUUCUAAUCCAAGGGUUGCGGGUUCGAGUCCCGCGGUGGGUG